rnacentral:rRNA from 1 species
GAUGAACGCUAGCGGCAGGCCUAACACAUGCAAGUCGAGGGAGGAGCUUUCGGGCUUCGACCGGCGUACGGGUGCGUAACGCGUAUACAAUCUGCCUUUCACAUAGGGAUAGCCCGAAGAAAUUUGGAUUAAUACCUAAUGGUAUAUAGGAGUGGCAUCACAUUUAUAUUAAAGCUGAGGCGGUGAAAGAUGAGUAUGCGUUCUAUUAGCUAGUUGGAGAGGUAACGGCUCCCCAAGGCGACGAUAGAUAGGGGUUCUGAGAGGGAUAUCCCCCACACUGGUACUGAGAUACGGACCAGACUCCUACGGGAGGCAGCAGUGAGGAAUAGUGGACAAUGGUCGGAAGACUGAUCCAGCCAUGCCGCGUGCAGGAAGACGGCCUUAUGGGUUGUAAACUGCUUUUGCAGGGGAAGAAUAAGGACUACGAGUAGUUUGAUGACGGUACUCUGCGAAUAAGCAUCGGCUAACUCCGUG